GAAAAUGCUGUGAAGAGAAGAGUACAUGCGUAAAUCAUUAACAGAGAACCCUGUUAGCUGAGAAAGGGUAAUUGCUAAGCGUAUGGAAGAUGGUCUUGGAGCUUCGUUUCUGAAUGAGUUAUACGGAUUUUACGUGUAUACUCUUUAGGGAAUGACGGGAAUCUGCAACCGUUACCAUGCAAGACUGUUGCUAAGGCAUCGACGCUAGUUUAACAUUACUUAAUGGAUAACAAAGCCUGUAUAGCGUAGUUAGCAGUUGUUAAGUUCUAUUUUGUGAAAAAUAGAAGAAUUAAAGUGGUAUCACGAGACUUCAUCUCGUCUUUAAA
rnacentral:ncRNA from 1 species